GCCAGCAGCCAUAUCACCCUGUAACUCACAACUGGCUAGCUCACUGAAGCUAAGCAGGUGUGAGCCUGGUCAGUACCUGGAUGGGAGACCUCCUGGGAAAAACUAAGGUUGCUGCUGGAA
ensembl:rRNA 5S_rRNA 5S ribosomal RNA